UUUCCUUUCACCAACCAAAAACCAAAACUUGAAGGAAUCGUUUUAUCGUCUUGUUAGCAAUUCUCUGUAAAGUCUUUUUUUUUCUUUGACUGAAGUUUAUCUGAACAAACACCACCAUGUGUGGGGGUGCUAUCAUCUCCGAUUUCAUAGCGCCGCCGGAGCGUUCGUCGCGACGCUUGACGCCCGACUUCUUGUGGCCUGAUCUGAAGAAAUCCGAGUUUAAGAAGGGUUACGGUAAAAGGUACUCAAAGCCGGUGAUCGAUUUGGAUGAUGAUUUCGAGACUGACUUCCAGGAAUUUAAGGACGAAGAAUCUGAUGUAGAUGACCAUGAUGUCAAGCCAUUUGCUUUCUCUGCUUCAAAGAAAUCAUCUUCUGAUGCCUCACAUGGUUCGUACUCCGGAAAUGCCGCCCAAUUCAACGGUCAAGAUGAGAAAUGCGCGAAAAGAAAGAGGAAGAGUCAGUAUCGCGGGAUUCGGCAGCGUCCAUGGGGUAAAUGGGCUGCUGAAAUCAGAGACCCGGGGAAAGGGGUUAGGGUCUGGUUAGGAACUUUCAAUACUGCCGAAGAAGCCGCAAGAGCUUACGAUGCUGAGGCUCGGAGAAUCCGUGGAAAGAAAGCUAAGGUGAACUUCCCUGACGAGACUCCUCGUGUCUCUCCGAAGCGCGCAGCUAAGACAAAUUCUCAGAAACCAGUCUCCAAGUCAAACUUGAACCCUGUCCAGCCAAAUCUGAACCAGAAUUUCAAUUGCAUGAACAACCCCGGGCAGGAAUACUUUGAUACCAUGAGCUUCGUAGAAGAGAAGCCGCUGAUGAAUCAAUUUGCAUACGUGCACCCGGUUCCUAUGUCUGUAGAUGCUGGAUUUAAACCGUUUAAUCCAUCUGACAAUACCCCAGUGUAUUUCAACUCCGAUCAGGGGAGUAACUCCAUCUAUUGUUCUGAUUAUAGCUGGGGAGAACAGGGUUCACAAACUCCCGAGAUAUCGUCCAUUCUCGAAGCUUCCAUAGAGAGUGAUGAGUUCCUGGAGGAUGCAAACCCUAAUAAGAAGAUGAAACCAAGUUCCGAUGAUGACAUUCCUACAGAAGAAAAUUCGCGAAAGAGUUUAUCCGAUGAGCUAUUGUCUUUGGGCAAUCAGAUGAAGUUCUUCCAAAUGCCGCCGUUCCUCGACGGGAACUGGGAUGCCUCGAUGGAUGCAUUACUCAACGGAAUUGAAACACAGGACGGCUCAAGCCCGAUGGAUCUCUGGAGCUUCGAUGACUUCCCAUCCAUGCUAGGGGCCGCUUUCUGAGCAAAAACUUCACCCAACUUGCUAGUUUUUGUAAAUAAAGCAACGUGAAUUUGGUCAUAAAUGUGUGAAGCCCAAAUAAAAGCCUUGUGUGCAGUGCUUUCUGAGAGAUCUUAGUUUUUGUUUGGAUGGAUGGAAAAUACGUCUGGUCAAUUUUAAAUUGAUGUAAUCGACUAAAUUCUUAAUCAUGGAAGAGGCCAGUUCCAUCUUAUAAAAUUUGGA